AACCCUCUCCAGUCCUCCGACGUGGUGAUAUGCCUCAAGAGAAGAUCCUGUGCACACCGUUCGCCAUCCUGACGGACUUCCAAACUUCUCCGGGGUCCGGCUAAUGUUUGACACCUGAAUGAUUAUUGUCGCGCCCGCGAUACCUCGUGCGUGUCAACGGCCCGGACUCUCAAGCUUUUUUGACGACGGCCACAGCAUCGACAGUGAAAAUCAUCCCCCUACCCCUGGCCGUCAUCGUGCACCAACCCCUCCCGAAGGAGGGUGAGAAUCUAGAGGCGGAGUGCUCGAGACAAGCGAGGGAAACGAUAAUCUUAUGACGAGGAAGUGAUACAACCUUAAGGAUACAGGAGACACAAGAAGAUAUAGGACACAUGUGAAACAUGCCAUUUGAUUGAAUACAGAAUACGAUUACAACACCUGAAGUGGUCAACAUUUUUAUCACGAACA